UACGUAGGGAGCAAGCGUUGUUCGGAAUUAUUGGGCGUAAAGAGCGCGUAGGCGGUUCGGUAAGUCUGACGUGAAAUCCCGGAGCUCAACUCCGGAACUGCGUUGGAUACUGCCGGGCUUGAGUGUGGGAGAGGAGAGUGGAAUUCCCAGUGUAGAGGUGAAAUUCGUAGAUAUUGGGAAGAACACCAGUGGCGAAGGCGGCUAUCUGGCCCGUGAUUGACGCUGAGGCGCGAAAGCGUGGGGAGCAAACAGGAUUAGAAACCCCGGUAGU
rnacentral:rRNA from 1 species